GGGUGAGUAACGCGUGGGUAACCUGCCCUGUACACACGGAUAACAUACCGAAAGGUAUGCUAAUACGAGAUAAAAUACUUUUAUCGCAUGGUAGAAGUAUCAAAGCUUUUGCGGUACAGGAUGGACCCGCGUCUGAUUAGCUAGUUGGUAAGGUAACGGCUUACCAAGGCGACGAUCAGUAGCCGACCUGAGAGGGUGAUCGGCCACAUUGGAACUGAGACACGGUCCAAACUCCUACGGGAGGCAGCAGUGGGGAAUAUUGCACAAUGGGCGAAAGCCUGAUGCAGCAACGCCGCGUGAGCGAUGAAGGCCUUCGGGUCGUAAAGCUCUGUCCUCAAGGAAGAUAAUGACGGUACUUGAGGAGGAAGCCCCGGCUAACUACGUGCCAGCAGCCGCGGUAAUACGUAGGGGGCUAGCGUUAUCCGGAAUUACUGGGCGUAAAGGGUGCGUAGGUGGUUUCUUAAGUCAGAGGUGAAAGGCUACGGCUCAACCGUAGUAAGCCUUUGAAACUGGGGAACUUGAGUGCAGGAGAGGAGAGUGGAAUUCCUAGUGUAGCGGUGAAAUGCGUAGAUAUUAGGAGGAACACCAGUUGCGAAGGCGGCUCUCUGGACUGUAACUGACACUGAGGCACGAAAGCGUGGGGAGCAAACAGGAUUAGAUACCCUGGUAGUCCACGCCGUAAACGGU
rnacentral:rRNA from 1 species